rnacentral:lncRNA from 1 species
UCUCUCUCUCUCUCUCUCUCUCUCUCUCUCUCUCUCGUGAUGCUUAUUUAAUUUAGUAUAAUUUAUGAUGUUAGUUUGUAAGAGGUCGCACUUGGUGCGAUGGCAAGUGCCUUCGCCCAUGAGCGGUAGGUCUCGGGUUCGAGACUUGGGAGCAGCCUCUCCAUAAAUGGGGGUAAGGCUAGCCGACAUUCACCUCUCCCAGACCCUGCGUAAAGCGGGAGCCUUGUGCAUUGGGUACGACCUUUUUUAUGAUGUUAGUUUGUAAUUUGUACACGCUGUUGAAUGCAAAAUAUAUUUUUUGUUCAAUUUUUAAUUCCUGGGUUUUGUAAUUACAUUACUGGGUUUGGAGUUGGACGCUAUUUUUGGGUUCUUAUUGUAAUCAAUUUGAAAUAAGGGGAUAAUAUUGAGAUGAUUGGACCAUGAAAGUUUUAUUUGUUUGGCUGCUCUUAUCAGAAAAUGUAAACACGAAGUGUUGAUAUUUCUUGCUAUGCCUUGACUGAGAGCAUCUUGAAAUUUGAAUGCGAAGCAAUUAACUAUUUGUGUAUUCGGUUUUUCAAUUCAAUAUCAGAAAUAUUGCUAAUAAUUGAUACCCUGAUGCACCCGGAGAUUUUACAGGGUUUUAUGUCUGCUUGAGUCAUUGAUACUCCAUUACUCCCAGCAGGGUUAAUUUCACUAUAAGGAUUGUCUGGUUUUUAUUGUUAGGGCCACAGGAGAGCAUUUCUGCAUGUUCUCCUGACGAGAGUACUCUUUCACU